GGAAGCGUCACGACAUCUUCCAGCUGGCAAACGGUUAACGCUCACCAGGUCGUCAUUUUUCGUCUUUUUUCAACGGCCAGACCUGGAAAGCGUGUGUACGGGCAACCGUACCGAGAGUUCGAAUCUCUCCCGUUCCGCCA
rnacentral:tRNA from 1 species